CAAGACCGAAAAGCAUGGCAGUCCCAGGACAGCCAUGAAAACCAUAUGUGAAUUAAUGAGUGAGCAGAUUGGAGCAGGAUUGUUUUGGACCCUAAGGACGUCACGUACAAAAUGCACUUAAAUCCUUGCCUCCUGGAGCUGAUGAUAAAGAAGAUGGACAAGUAAAACAUAUGGAAUGUGAAAUGGUGAUAAGAGUGAUGGAGAAAAUAAAACAGGAGAGGAGGUUGGAAUUGCCAGGUAAGGAGAAAGAUUUUCAUUUUAAAUAUGUUGACCAGGGAAGGCAUCACUGAGAAAGUUCCAAUUUGCAGGCUUCAGAUUCAGCUUCUGUUUCCUGAGUGCCUCCACUAUACCAGCCAUUGGGCCAGGCAUCCAGAAGCCCUAAGGUAGACCUCAUCAUCCCUGUUCUACAGGAGAGGAAAACCAAGACUUGGCUACUACAGUAUACAAAGGGUGUGGAAAAGUCCUCCUAGAACCCUUACCCUGCUUCCAGGAGGAGCUGGACAGUUCUUUCCAAGUCCAGGCAGAAAGAAGUCUCCUCUUUUUCCAUUCUCUUUGUUACUUUAUAUGUCUGUGCAGGCUUGGUUG
rnacentral:lncRNA from 10 species